ACGUAGGGUGCAAGCGUUGUCCGGAAUUAUUGGGCGUAAAGAGCUCGUAGGCGGUUUGUUGCGUCGGCUGUGAAAUCCCGAGGCUCAACCUCGGGUCUGCAGUCGAUACGAGCAAACUAGAGUGUUGCAGGGGAGACUGGAAUUCCUGGUGUAGCGGUGGAAUGCGUAGAGAUCCGGAAGAACACCGGUGGCGAAGGCGGCCUGCUGGGCAGUUAGCUGACGCUGAGGCGCGACAGCGUGGGGAGCAAACAGGA
rnacentral:rRNA from 1 species